UACAGGGGGUGCAAGCGUUGUUCGGAAUUACUGGGCGUAAAGCGCGGGCAGGUGGCCCGCUAAGUCUGCGGUGAAAUCCCGGAGCUCAACUCCGGAUAUGCCGCGGAUACUGGCGGGCUAGAGACCAGUAGAGGCGAGUGGAAUUCCAGGUGUAGCGGUGGAAUGCGCAGAUAUCAGGAGGAACACCAAUGGCGAAGGCAGUUCUCUGGUACGUGACUGACGCUGAGACGCGAAAGCGUGGGGAGCAAACAGG
rnacentral:rRNA from 1 species